UGGGCAAGAGAAGGAGCAAUAAAGGGAGGUGACCAGCAAAACCCUCGGGGGACCUGUAAGCCUGGAUCCACUUGCCAAAAAUUCUCCUAGGGAAGGGGGAAACUUUGACACCAAACAGAAAAGAAACAGCCAGAGAGUUCUCUGCCAAGGGAAUGUUAAAGAAUUUAAUUCAGGAUGAAAUGUGUUCUUGUUGGUGUACAAUUAAUUUUCCUCCCAAAUGAGGGGCUUUGUCUGGCCCUGGAGUGUUUCAAUAGCAGCCUGCAAUUAGGGGACAGCGCCUCUGGUUGCAGAGCGGCUGUUGGUGUUAACACGUCCUUGUCCUCUUCGGGGAAGCAAACAGGGCUUGGACUGGCUCCCGAGUCUUAGAAGGAAAACAAAGAACCCGCACAAAGAACGGAAGAAAACACCUCCAAACAGAGGCCUGGCGCUUGCAGGGAUGACAUCACCUCCAAAACACAGAAAGUAGUUUCCAAAGCGGGGACGGGACAGGCCAGAUGACCAGAUGGAUUGAGCUGCUGCCCAAAUGGAGCCCGCAUCUGCUUUAUUUAUAUCUGGAAACAUCAAAGGUCUUCCAUAGAGUGUUCUUCACCAAAAUAGGAUAAAGGAGAGCCCCGGAAAGUCCCCAUGCCAGGCCCAGCGCUCCCUGGCUCCCAGAGAAGGUCCUCGUGUAUUUCACGGAUGGCUUCCUGAGAGGUGCAUUACGUUUGUGUGGCUGUGUGACAGAUUGCCUUGCAUUCAGCAGCUUAAGUCAAUGUCCAUCUAUCAUCUCAGUUUUGUAAGUCAGAAGUCCCACAUGGAGUGGCUGUGGCCACUCAGGGUCUCACUGGGCUGGAAUCCAAGCGUCAGUUGAGGGGCAGUGGUGCUUCUCUGGGAACCAGAGAAGUGAGAACAAAAUCCAGGGGUCCCAAAGGUUAGGAGCCCGGGGGACACUCCUAGGUAGCUGGAGGUGUUUUUGCCACUUUGCAAAUAAACUCACCCCCACUGUCUGGCCUAGUGAUCCCAGGCCUCGGUGUCUGUCCAGAGAAUUAAAACACACACCCACACUUCACGGUGCUAUCCCCAACAGCCCCCUUCAACAACACAAAUGCGUGGGGACCGAUGAGCGAUAAACCAGUGAGCGUGUAAACACGGGAUGGAAAACCACGCUGCUCAGCACCACCACCCAGGAAGAGCUCCACUGACCAAAGCCACAUGGAAGGGCCUCGGAGUCCUCGUGGGAAGACAGGAAGACAGACCGUCGCGUGAUCCCAUUUACAAGUAGUUCUAGAAAAUUCAAAAAGGAAGUGAAAGCGUGGCCACUGUCGG